rnacentral:rRNA from 1 species
AUGCCGCGGUGAAUACGUUCCCGGGCCUUGUACACACCGCCCGUCACACCAUGGGAGUUGGUUUUACCCGAAGGCGCUGUGCUAACCGCAAGGAGGCAGGCGACCACGGUAGGGUCAGCGACUGGGGUGAAGUCGUAACAAGGUAGCCGUAGGGGAACCUGCGGCUGGAUCACCUCCUUUCUAAGG